ensembl:lncRNA novel transcript
UGAAGAUGAGGAGACAUUGGAGAGCAGGAUGGUGGUGACAUUCCUAAUGUCAGCUCUUGAGUCCACGAACUGCUCUAUACUUGGCCUGUGCCAGUGGCCAUGUGCAAGUGGUCAAUCUCCUGGUUAGCAGAAAAUGCCAGAUUGAUAUCUGUGACAAAGAAAACAGGAUGCCUUUGAUACAGGCUGUCCAUUGCCAGGAAGAGGCUUGUGCCGUUAUUCUGCUGGAACAUGGUGCCAAUCCAAACCUUAAGGAUAUCUAUGGCAACACUGCUCUCCAUUAUGCUGUGUAUAGUGACAGCACCUCACUGGCAGAAAAACUGCUUUCCCAUGGUGCACAUAUUGAAGCACUGGACAAGUGUAAAACAACACAUGAAAGAAAAUAUUCCCUGGAAAUAGGCUUUAUCUUAAAACUCAAACAAAACUAAAGCAACUUACAAUAAAGGGACAUGUUGCUGUUGCUGCUAAUUUUCUGAAAAACUGAUGUAUCAUCUCUCAGUGGCAAGGCUUAAGAGGACAAUAAUACCCCACUUUUAUUCGCUAUAAUUUGCAAGAAAGAGAAAAUGGUGGAAUUUUUAUUGAAAAAGAAAGCAAGUGCACAAUGCCGUUGAUAGGCUGAGACGGUCAGCUCUCAUACUUGCUGUAUACUAUGACUCACCAGGUAUUGUCAAUAUCCUUCUUAAGCAAAAUAUUAUCUUCGCUCAAGACAUGUGUGGACGAGAUGCAGAAGAUUACGCUAUUUCUCAUCAUUUGACAAAAAUUCAACAACAAAUUUUGGAACAUAAAAAGAAGACACUUAAAACGGAGAAAUCAGAUGUUGGAAGUUCUGAUGAAUCUGCAGUCAGCAUUUUCCAUGAACUGCAUGUGGAUUCAUUGCCUGCAUCGGAUGACAAAGACUUGAAUAUUGCUACUAAGUGUGUCCCCGAGAAAGUGUCAGAGCCUUUACCUGGACCUUCGCAUGAAAAAGGAAACAGAAUAGUCGAUGGACAAGGAGAAGGGCCUCCUGCAAAACAUCCUUCCUUGAAGCCUAGCACUGAAGUGGAAGAUCCUGCUGUGAAAGGAGCAGUACAAAGAAAGGAUGUACAGACAUUGAGAGCAGAACAAGCCUUACCAGUGGCUUCAGAGGAAGAGCAAGAAAGGCAUGAAAGAAGUGAAAAGAAGCAACCACAGGUCAAAGAAGGAAAUAAUACAAACAAAAGUGAAAAAAUACAACUUUCAGAAAAUAUAUGUGAUAGUACAUCUUCUGCUGCUGCUGGCAGAUUAACCCAACAAAGAAAGAUUGGGAAAACGUAUCCUCAGCAAUUUCCCAAGAAGCUGAAGGAAGAGCAUGAUAGAUGCACCUUAAAACAAGAAAAUGAAGAAAAAACAAAUGUUAAUAUGCUGUACAAAAAAAAUAGAGAAGAAUUAGAAAGGAAAGAGAAACAAUAUAAGAAAGAAGUUGACGCAAAACAACUUGAACCAACUGUUCAGUCACUAGAGAUGAAAUCAAAGACUGCAAGAAAUACUCCAAAUCGGGAUUUUCAUAAUCAUGAAGAAAUGAAAGGUCUGAUGGAUGAAAAUUGCAUUUUGAAGGCAGAUAUUGCUAUACUCAGACAGGAAAUAUGUACAAUGAAAAAUGACAACUUGGAAAAAGAAAAUAAAUAUCUUAAGGACAUUAAAAUUGUUAAAGAAACAAAUGUUGCCCUUGAAAAGUACAUAAAACUCAAUGAGGAAAUGAUAACAGAAACAGCAUUCCGGUAUCAACAAGAGCUUAAUGAUCUCAAGGCUGAGAAUACAAGGCUCAAUGCCGAACUGUUGAAGGAAAAAGAAAGCAAGAAAAGACUGGAAGCUGACAUUGAAUCUUAUCAGUCUAGACUGGCUGCUGCUAUAAGUAAACACAGUGAAAGUGUGAAAACAGAAAGAAACCUAAAACUUGCUUUAGAGAGAACACGAGAUGUUUCUGUACACGUAGAAAGGAGUUCUGCUAUUUCCAAAGUAAAAGAUGAGAAUGAGUUUCUUACUGAACAACUUUCUGAAACACAAAUUAAAUUCAAUGCCUUAAAAGAUAAGUUCCGUAAGAUGAGAUAGUCUCAGAAAAAAGUCAUUGUCUUUAGAAACUGUACAAAACGACCUAAGCCAUACACAGCAGCAAACACAGGAAAUGAAAGAGAUGUAUCAAAAUGCAGAAGCCAAAGUGAAUAAUUCCACUGGAAAGUGGAACUGUGUAGAAGAGAGGAUAUGUCACCUCCAACGUGAAAAUGCAUGGCUUGUACAGCAACUAGAUGACGUUCAUCAGAAAGAGGAUCAUAAAGAGAUAGUAACUAAUAUUCAAAGAGGCUUUAUUGAGAGUGGAAAGAAAGAUCUCGUGCUAGAAGAGAAAAGUAAGAAGCUAAUGAAUGAAUGUGAUCAUUUAAAAGAAAGUCUCUUUCAGUAUGAGAGAGAGAAAGCAGAAGGAGUAGUGGUUGUGAGACAACUUCAACAAGAAGUGGCUGACAGUGUAAAAAAAUUAACGACGUUAGAGUCUCCACUGGAAGGUAUAUCACGUUGUCACAUUAAUUUGGAUGAGACAUAGGCCUCAAAGAAGAAAUUAUUUCAAGUGGAAAGUCAAAUAUAAGAAACUCCUGGAAAUGACAAUAAAUAUGUUAAAUGUAUUUGGAAAUGAAGAUUUUGAUUGCCAUGGAGACUUAAAAGCAGAUCAACUGAAAAUGGAUAUUCUGAUUAAGAAGCUAAAACAGAAGUUUGAUGAUCUUACGGCAGAGAAGGAAGCUUUAUCUUCAAAAUGUGUCAAUUUGGCUAAAGACAAUCAAGUUCUUCAACAGGAGUUUUUAUCUAUGAAAAAAGUACAACAGCAAUGUGAGAAACUUGAGGAGGAUAAAAAGAUGUUGAAAGAAGAAAUAUUAAAUCUUAAGACACAUAUGGAAAACAAUAGGGUAGAACUUAGUAAACUACAAGAAUAUAAAUUGGAGCUAGAUGAAAAGGCAAUGCAGGCAGUAGAAAAAAUAGAAGAAAUCCAUUUACAGGAACAAGCACAAUAUGAAAAACAAUUAGAGCAGUUAAACAAGGAUAAUAUGGCUUCACUAAAUAAGAAAGAACUCACACUUAAAGAUGUGGAAUGUAAAUUCUCAGAAAUGAAAACUGCUUAUGAAGAGAUUACAACCGAAUUAGAAGAAUAUAAGGAAGCCUUUGCAGCAGCAUUGAAAGCUAACAAUUCCAUGUCAAAAAAAUUAACAAAAUCAAAUAAGAAAAUAGCAGUGAUCAGCAUGAAGCUCCUUAUGGAGAAAGAGCAGAUGAAAUAUUUUCUCAGCACUCUUCCUACAAGGCGAGACCCAGAGUCACCUUGUGUUGAAAAUCUUACUAGUAUAGGACUCAACAGAAAAUAUAUUCCCCAAACACCCAUAAGAAUUCCUAUUUCAAGCCCACAGACUUCAAAUAACUGCAAGAACUCCUUGACUGUGGUCAGUUACAUGACCAUUUCUCUUUUGGGUUUCAUUUCUCUAAUAUAAUUCUUGUUUUUAAUUUGGUGAAAUACUGAGUUCUGUUGACUUAUGCAUGUUUAGUAAAGAUCAUAAUUAACUGUGUUAACACAGAAAGGAAAUGGAAACUUUACAUUUUUUAAUUCCCUGGAGCUCUCAUUUUCAAGAGAUACCCGUUUACUAACUUUAUUCAAUAAAUGUGACUAAACUGACACAUUUAAAA